rnacentral:rRNA from 1 species
UACAGAGGUCCCGAGCGUUGUUCGGAUUCACUAGGCGUAAAGGGUGCGUAGGUGGUUAGGUAAGUCCGAUGUGAAAUCUCCAGGCUCAACCUGGAAAUGGCAUUGGAUACUAUUUAGCUUGAGGAGUGGAGGGGGGACUGGAAUUCUCGGUGUAGCAGUGAAAUGCGUAGAUAUCGAGAGGAACACCAGUGGCGAAGGCGAGUCCCUGGACACUUCCUGACACUGAGGCACGAAAGCUAGGGGAGCAAACAGG